rnacentral:lncRNA from 1 species
CCCCUCCUCCUCAAACACCUGUUUACAUCUACAUACUUGCCUGUCAGGCCUUCUUGUCAUUGGAAAUUGAUUUCUAAGUGAAAUUUUAAAUCUUGUCAAAUUGACAGGAUUACAUCAAGUUGACCAUGGUAAUGUUGGACAUGGCAAAGUGUUUGUCUAACGAGAACUGAGCUGGAUGAAAAUACCUGAAAACAAGGGAAAAUCAGCCAGGGUGGUGAUGAGGUAAGUGCUUUAAUUAGCAACAGAUUUCAUGCAGACCUUGGGGAAAAUUUCAAGAAGCCUUUUUAUGUUUUUAUGCAAAGGAUCCUCUCUGUGAUGAUGUUGGGAAGGGCAAAUAUGAUGAAGGUUUUCAGAGAGUGAUGCCAAUAAUACAGUAAAUUCUUGACUCUUUGGAAUUCUAAACUAAGAGACAAGAUCUGCUUUCUCUCUUCUUACAUCAGUGAGCUGGGCGGUAUCGUGCAUAGUGGUGAUGAUGACAGGUUGAUUAGUAGGGCCAGACCAAGUGUGAAAUCGUUCACACCACUGCUCUGUUUCCAGGAGCCACGGUGAGAAGACAGUAAGUACAGUUCAAAAUGUUUAGUUAGGGGCCCCUGGCCGGCUCAGUCAGUGGAGUGUGGGACCCUUGAUCUUGGGGUUGUGCAUUCGAGCCCUGCGUUGGAUGUAGAGAUUAUUUUUAAGUAAUAUUGACACCUGUAAGAUCACUUAGAGAAUAGAAAGAAUAAAACGAAAAUCACCUAAUAAUUCCA